rnacentral:lncRNA from 1 species
CCUUUUCAUGACAAUCCGUUAAUCCCAACCCUUCCAUACCAAAACACUCAUGAUCAUCGAGCCCUCUCCCCAAUAAGCUAUCAACAUCAGCUGCAAACUCUGCCAGAUCCAUAUCACUCGGAAGAUCAAAUCCAUGUGAUGAAGGUGAGUUUCUAUUUCCCACACCAUAGUAAUUAGGCAUCGAAACCGCUUUGGAUUCGUUUCCAUUGAGAUCGUUGGAAACAGCGUUGGAAUUAGGAGAAGUGCAGAGCUCCGCAACAAAGGGAUCGUAUAUCGGAACUCUAUAUAGAAGCUGCUCCUCCUCGUUCUCCUCAUACGACAGGUCGUCCGCUCCGACUUCCGGAACAAGAGGAAAUCGGUUCCGAGGAGCCGCA